CUGCAAGGGGCCGUCGUCUGUGCGUGGGAGGGGCCGCCCCUGCUGCUGAGUCAGAGGAGGCCGGCCCAGGCGUCCUGGAGGGCGGGCAGGCGGGAGGUUCCAGCAGGCCGUGCCGGCAGGAAUCCACGGAGCCAGGCACUGGAGCCACUCUUCCCUGAGCCCGCGGCCUUGCACUUGGUGCAGGAGUCUGCCUGCUUGCCUUCCUGCCUGCUGCUGGCCCCUCUUGUACCCGUGCUGAGGAAGCCUAAUCCGCCUCCUCACUGUGCUCCUCCUGCUUCUCUUGCCCCUGUGCCGACCAGCCGGCUCUAAGCAGCCAUGGUGGCUGGCAUGCUCAUGCCGCUGGACCAGCUGCGGGCCAUCUAUGAGGUGCUCUUCCGCGAGGGGGUGAUGGUGGCCAAGAAGGACCGGCGGCCCCGUAGCCUGCACCCCCAUGUGCCUGGUGUCACCAACCUGCAGGUCAUGCGAGCCAUGGCCUCCCUGCGGGCUCGGGGCCUGGUGCGGGAGACAUUUGCCUGGCGCCACUUCUACUGGUUCCUGACCAAUGAGGGCAUCACCCACCUACGCCAGCACCUGCACCUGCCACCUGAGAUCCUGCCUGCCUCCCUGCAGCGUGUGCGCCGCCCCUUCACCAUGGUGAUGCCUGCACGUCGCACCCCUCAUGUGCAGGCUGUGCAGGGUCCCCUGGGCUGUCCGCCCAAGCGGGGGCCUCAGCUGUCUGAGGACCCUGCCCCAGAGGAGCGGCGGGCCUACCGCCGGAAGGAAGCUGAGGAGGGGUCACCUGAAGCCCCUGUGGUACCCACUACCACUCUGGGAGCCCUAGCCAGGCGGGGCCUGGAGCCUACCCCAGCCACAGGUCAGCUGCAUCCUAGUUCCAGGUGGAGAGGGGUGGGAAGGGGGGAUGUGGAUGUCCGCAGUGCCCAGGCUUGGGCCUGUUGGGGAAGGGUGGGCAGCAUGAGUGCUGGGGAUUCCACUCACACCAGCAGGUGGUGCCCUCUCUGCCUGAGGGAUCUGGGUGCUGUGGUCAGUGGGCCUACUGGCUCCUCCUCCUGGGUUGGGGACCUUAUUGGGGUGGGACAGGCACAUCCCAGUGGGGGCGGGGCCUGUGGGGCCUGGACUGGCGGGCCCAGCUGUUGUCACAGCCCCACCCAUUUGUGGGCCACUCUCUUAAGCAUUGUCCUUUCUUUUGUCCCCAUUCAUUCCAAUCCCUGU
rnacentral:lncRNA from 1 species